UACGUAGGGACCAAGCGUUGUUCGGAUUUACUGGGCGUAAAGGGCGCGUAGGCGGUUCGUACAGUCAGACGUGAAAUUCCUGGGCUCAACCUGGGGGCUGCGUUUGAUACGUGCGGACUUGAGUGCGGAAGAGGGUCGUGGAAUUCCCAGUGUAGAGGUGAAAUUCGUAGAUAUUGGGAAGAACACCGGUGGCGAAGGCGGCGACCUGGUCCGAUACUGACGCUGAGGCGCGAAAGCGUGGGGAGCAAACAGG
rnacentral:rRNA from 1 species